rnacentral:rRNA from 1 species
UACGUAGGGCGCAAGCGUUGUCCGGAAUUAUUGGGCGUAAAGAGCUCGUAGGCGGCUUGUCACGUCUGCUGUGAAAUCCCGGGGCUCAACCCCGGGCGUGCAGUGGAUACGGGCUGGCUAGAGGCAGGCAGGGGAGAACGGAAUUCCCGGUGUAGCGGUGAAAUGCGCAGAUAUCAGGAAGAACACCCGUGGCGAAGGCGGCUCGCUGGGACGUGACUGACGCUGAGACGCGAAAGCGUGGGGAGCAAACAGG